rnacentral:rRNA from 1 species
UGAACGCUGGCGGCGUGCUUAACACAUGCAAGUCGAACGAAACACCUUAUUUGAUUUUCUUCGGAACUGAAGAUUUGGUGAUUGAGUGGCGGACGGGUGAGUAACGCGUGGGUAACCUGCCCUGUACAGGGGGAUAACAGUCAGAAAUGACUGCUAAUACCGCAUAAGACCACAGCACCGCAUGGUGCAGGGGUAAAAACUCCGGUGGUACAGGAUGGACCCGCGUCUGAUUAGCUGGUUGGUGAGGUAACGGCUCACCAAGGCGACGAUCAGUAGCCGGCUUGAGAGAGUGAACGGCCACAUUGGGACUGAGACACGGCCCAAACUCCUACGGGAGGCAGCAGUGGGGAAUAUUGCACAAUGGGGGAAACCCUGAUGCAGCGACGCCGCGUGAGUGAAGAAGUAUCUCGGUAUGUAAAGCUCUAUCAGCAGGGAAGAAAAUGACGGUACCUGACUAAGAAGCCCCGGCUAACUACGUGCCAGCAGCCGCGGUAAUACGUAGGGGGCAAGCGUUAUCCGGAAUUGCUGGGUGUAAAGGGUGCGUAGGUGGUAUGGCAAGUCAGAAGUGAAAACCCAGGGCUUAACUCUGGGACUGCUUUUGAAACUGUCAGA